UGUAAGUGGUAAAUGGCAGAGCCAGGUUUUGAAUAGGACUGACCCCAAAUCCCAUGUUCUUUUCUCUGCAAACAGGAAGACAUAAAGGGCUCACGUUCACAUUACUAUCUUCAAAUGUUAAAGGACUCUGACUCUUAGGUGGCAGAGAGAGUAGAAAUUUCUGACGCUCCAGGAGGUCAAUCUAAUACUUAGGAGUGGAAUCGUGAAGGAAGACAGACUUUAUCUGGGAAUAAGGAAGAAAUGAUUAUCUCAUGAAGGUAGAAUUUUCCACCCCAGAUGGAAUUUAACAAGUGAUUACUUCGCACAGAAUUUUAGAGAUGACUUGUACUUGGAUGACCUCUGCUUUACUUCCAACUUCAAGAGUAUGAUGUUAUUGUUUUCAAAACACCUAUUGAUCCACUGUGCUUUUGUGUUAAAGGAAGCAUUGAAACAUCAGCUCUAAAACAAGAUGACUUCAGCUCCAGGGUUGAGAAGGCCAGCCAGCCACUGGGUAGUUUUGAUGUCAGAAGGAUUUCAAAACCUUCCCUCUGUGAAUGAUCACUUACACACACACACUGGGGCAUCAACAUGAAGGUGGUAACCAGUGUGGGAUUGGUGGAACUCUGCAGAUCCUACAGGAGAAUGCUCAGUAUUGUCCUCCUGGAGGAGUGCAACUAUUAAGCUGACUCACCGUGCCACGUCAUUAUUCAGAACUGAAAACGCCCUUUGGAUUCAUGUUUCCUUGUUUCCGGCCUGUUCAUUUUACCGAAUGACAAGAUUAUGUGACUCUGGUAUGCUUUGACUUGCCUUCUGUUAAGAGGUUUAUUUUCAUGUGUUUUCUACUAAAUGUCCUUUGCCCCCAGCUUAAGCCAUAAAUGAA
rnacentral:lncRNA from 1 species